GCACUUAGGAUGCUGGCAUAAUGGCUUUAAACGACCCGUCUUGUAACACGGACCAAGGAGUCUAACAUGCUUGCGAGUAUUUGGGUGUCAAACCCGGAUGCGUAAUGAAAGUGAAUGGAGGUGGGAAGCGCAAGCUGCACCAUCGACCGAUCUGGAUUUUUUAAGAUGGAUUUGAGUAAGAGCACGUAUGUUGGGACCCGAAAGAUGGUG
rnacentral:rRNA from 14 species